CGCGCGUCUAGUUGCGGUCACGCUCCGUCACGUGUUGCGUGCUGCCUGCGCGUCUUUCCGCGGCGGCCUGCUAGUUGCGGAGGGAUCACAGUCCGGCGCCUACUGGAACGCUCCGCCGGGAUGGGACAACGCCCGCCUCCGAAAUUACCAAGCUGCGUCUGCGUGAGUCUGGAAAAGAUUUGAGACCAUAAGUGCAGCCUCCACUCUCCCUGUUAGACUUACUCCGGAGUUCCUGACCCCCUCAGUCUUUCCUUCCUACUUCUGUUCCUUCAACAAAUAUUGAACACCUAUGGUGUCAGCGCCGGGACUUCAGGGAGCAGUUUUGGAGAGGAGAGAGAUCUGAGUUCUAGUUCUCCGUCCACCUGGAACUAUUUGUGACCUUGGCCUUCUCCCGGUACCUCUGUCUCCGGUUUGAUCUUAUCUUCUGCAAAGUGAGGAAACUGCCCUAGAGAUGCUCUUUGACAUUUGUCAGCACUGAAAUGCUGUGAUUCUUGAAACUGGAUAACUGAAGGAAUUGUUUGGAUAAUUAAUUGUAAUCUUCCGAUAUUCUGCAUUCUCCAAGUACCAUGAAAAAAAAUUAGCAAGAUGUAAAAAUUCAAGAGCAUUUUUGUUUUCUCUUUUAGAAGGGUGAAGCCAGAGCAUUUUUGUUUUCUCUUUUAGAAGGGUGAAGCCAGCUCGUCAUCCUGGAGGCAUGGAAGACCCCAGGAGCAGACCACAGGGGCAGCUAUGGACCUAGGGCCCGGGACAUGCUGAACCAAAUUACAACAGGCCUCUGAACUCCAAAGGCCAGUGCCUUUGGAGGAAGCGGCAGGGCGGGUGAAGGGGAGGGGAUACAUUGCAUGCAGCCUGGAGCUGGAGGAGCGGAGUCAGCAAGGAGGGCCUCGGGGAGGGGAGAGCAGAGUGGACCAUGACUUCAUGGGAAGUCCCAAGCCCUCACAGACCUAGAGGGAAUGGGCGUUGCAGGCGAAGAGAGUGUGGGUGCCAGAGAGGACUGGGCUGGUGGGCAAGCUUGGAGCUGCAGUGGGAGCCGGCUCCUGCAGCCCUCAGAGUUGUUGGCUUCUCUUCACUGGCUUCCCUACACUCUGAAGACCUGAAAAGAACUGAGUCCUGGCAGUCUUCCCUGAAUGUCCUGUGCUACAGAACCCCAAGGGAUGAGGAGUGGUCCCCUAUCCUGGCUGAGGUGGUAACUUCCCACUAUCCUGAGUAGGAGAGGGCAGAGCCAACUUUAUUUUGAACAACGAAGAAAUGGCUGUUUCAUCUGGAAAAAAUGUCAGUGAAGACAUGAACUCAGGAUUCUCUAAAAUUAUGUCGUGUUUCCCUUUACAGCCAGAGAGCAUUGAGUGUUUUCAUGUAUCAUGUCAUCUGAAGCAGGAAGGUCUAGAGACUCCCAUCAGCCCCACCGGAGGAGGAAGGAGCAGGGAUAGGGAAUGUGAAGAAGUCCCUAAGGCCUUGUUUGUGUGCAGGCCUGGGAGGAAUGGCAUUAGUGGUUUCAGGAGGUGUUGCCCCAGGAUUGUUACAGAGGGACAAUGUGUUGAGUUCACAUGCCUGACCCUGAAAUUCCAAAGGCCCCAGACACAGAGCAUGGCCAGAGGGUGCUUGGUUGGAGGGGGCCUGAGUGUGGGUGGGGACCCACUCCCCCAGGCUGCCAGAAAUUCCUUUGAGCUGCUCAUGCUUUGAGUUAAGCCUUGUUCAUAUAACAUCUCUUUUGAAGUGCACUCUGCCACCUAAUUCACCUCAAUGUGAAUGAGUUUUUCCAAAGAGGCUGGAGGUGGGUGGAGCAGGCAAAUAGGUCUGUGUGCCCACAGCUCAGAGGGUGGCCUGGGGGAAGAGGUAGGGUCAGCUUUGGUCUCCUGACUUCUCAGAGGGAGUUUCUUUGAAGGCUUCUAAGUCCUGUGUUCUGCUGGUGUGGCCCCAGGUGUGUUUAGAUCAGUUCUAAUCUAUCUCAGAUGCCAGGCCUCAGUGGAGCCCUCUGGCCCCACCUCUCCCCCAGCACAGCCCAGGCUGCCCCUUUUUCUCUCCCCAGAUCUCAUGUUUGUGCCCAGAAUGUCUUAAAAUAUCUGUUUCCUCACCUAUGGGAUGGUGAUUGUACUGCCUGCUUUUUUGGGGUCACUUGAAGGUUAAAUGCAGGAUUGGGUGUGAAAGGCCCUAGCACAUUGGAUGAGCUGAUUGAUGCCAAGUGUUUAGAAUAGUCUCGGGCUAUUCUUUUUUUUUUUUUGGAAACCAAGUCUUGCUCUGUCAUCCAGGCUGGAGUGCAGUGGCAUGAUCUCAGCUCACUGUAACCUCCACCUCCCAGAUUCAAGCAAUUCUCCUGCCUCAGCCUCCUGAGUAGCUGGGAUUACAGGUGCCCACCACCACGCCUGGCUAAUUUUUGUAUUUUUAGUAGAGACAGGUUUUCUCCAUAUUGGUCAGGCUGGUCUGGAACUCCUGACCUUGUGAUCCACCCGCCUCAGCCUCCCAAAGUGCUGGGAUUACAGGCGUGAGCCACCGCUCUCGGCCAGUCCUGGGCUAUUCUAAUGCUCAAUACAAUACGUAACCACUUCCUUACUCUUCUUUCCUUCAUCUUGCAACUGUCUGCAUGAAAUAAGCUUUUUUUAAGGUGAAAAUAUCAGGGUAGGGAGGAGUCCCUAAGUUUUGUUCCUUUUAGCCAUGUCAGGGAAUAUUUUCACCCAGAUGUCUUUAAUCCUUUGGAUUUGACUUAGCAAAGGCCCUGGUUAAGAUGCAGUUGUGUUUUGAGACGGGACACUAAAUAGACUCAGUAAUACUUUUUUACUUAGUUUAGUAUGAUUCCUUGCCCUUCAACACCAACACAAGGCCUUCUGGAGUCCUAUUUCAUGUGAGUAUCUCUGAGACAUAAGCAGGGGUGCGGCGGGGGUGGUGGUGGUUAUUAUUCCUCUUUACUGAUAGGGAAAGACUAGACCUAGAGAGGUUAGGCGACCUAUCUAAGGGCACAGCUAGUGACGCUCCUGGAAUUUGCUCUUGGAUCUCUCUGACUCCAAGGGCUCGCUUUACACCGAGAUGGAAUAUGGGAGUACAGUUUGAGGGGUUCUGGGAAGCUCUCUCCAGAUAAUCUCUUCCUCUUGCCUUAAAUCCUACCACUGAUGCAUCGUUAGUUUUAGCGGUUGCUCUGUCAAGGGUUCACUGUGAUUUAUUUCAAGACCCAUUUUCUGGCAGUCCCAGGGUGGCCUAAGGGCAUAAGUUGUUUAGGUUUAGAGUGUGGAGGGCGUGCUCAGAAAGAAGGUACAAAAAGAGGAAUUGCCAACUCUGAGCAUGGGGUGUGUCAGUUUCUCUCUAGUCUUCAAUUUCCCUAUGUGGGUUUGCAGGGAUGGGAGGAAAAGCAUCACACCUCCUCCAAAUCCUGGCUGCCCUGGAGUCCAGACAUCACUCCCUGCAAGGCUACACUGACCGCAGCAGCGAUGCAGGGGACACUGCAAUGGCUUUCAGCCGAGGAGGUCCAUAUUUACGUCUCAUCAACUGUGACUAGCUGGGUCACCAGUCUCUUCCAGUUGCUGACCUUGUUUUCUCAUCUCUGAAAUGAAAGUGAUGAUUUUUCUACUUACUCUACAGGGUUGUGACGCUCCAAGAGAAAUCCCACUAUAAAUUGCUAUACAACAAAAGACAGGAAUAUCAGUAUUGUAAGACACCCAGUGGAGCCUCAGGCAGCUCAGUGUUCCCCUUACCUGGUGAGUGAGGCACGUGUGCAUUAGGAACAGACCUACAAAAUCAGAGCACCAAGAUGAACCAUUACAUUGUAUUAAUAUUUUCACACCACUUAGCUCUCAUUAAAAUGUACUUUGCUGAAUUUAAUAUGUGAUUUCAAAUGACACAACAUAUUAAGUGCUUAAUAUACUAGAAAUUAUGAAACUAUUACAGUUGAUGCCAUAUGAAAUAAUUACACUGAAUUAAACUUUAGCAGCCAAGUGAAGGAAAGACUUCAACUUAUAACGUCUUAAAGAAGCUUAAGCCACCACUGUAAUCCCCCAAAUAAAUGUCCAGAAAUUAGGAUCUUUAAAUAAAAACUGGAACUUAAUCUGUACUUACGCCUGGAAGCUCUUCUGGGCUUUGGUGAUGUUGAGCAUUGUUCCCUUAGGGAGGUGGGGGGACCUGGGACCCACCAAAGGCCAGGGUGUCAGGGUCAGGGCUUCAGUGGGCUUGCUCCCUGGGGCCUGGCUGGGGAUUGGCUCAAAUGGCCGGGAGUAAAGGCUUCUGCUGAAGUGACAGAUGAGGCUUUGCUCCAGAUUACCCUAUUGACAAGUUAAAAAUAAAGACAAACCCACUUAUUUAACA